ACCGGUGUCUAAACUCGAUGGUCUUCGGCACUGCGCCGGCUGCUCUAGCCACUUCAGCUCUCACUCUUUGGUUUCCUGCCCUGUUCCGGUGUCUCUAAGCGGCCUGAUUCCUAGAGACGCGGUCUGCACGUGGAGAAGCGCGUGGAUCCCGCAACCUUGCGCUUCCCAGCCCCAUGUUCGAGGAGCCGGAGUGGGCCGAGGAGGCCCCUGUAGUCGCGGACUUCGGGUCUGUAGCCUUAGGGCUUCGGCCCACGGCAGCCUCUCAAAUCAAGGGCUCCAACCGCCGCCAGCUCUUGGCCACAUUACGGGCCCUGGAGGUAGCAUCUGUUCCCCAGCAGCCCCCUAGCCUGCCUGGCAGUGACUCUGAGGAGGAGGAGGUAGUGGAAACAAAGAAGAAACGCCUGAAAAGGGGCUCGUUUGCUGGUGCGUCUAGUGAAGUAGAGGAGAAAAGGAAGAAGAAACGUCACAAACAGGGCCCACCUAGCAGUGACUCCAAGGAAGAGGAAGUGGAAAGGAAGAAGUGCCACAAAGGGGCUCUUCUUGGCAGUGACUUGGCUGAAGAAGAGAAAAAAAAGAGGAAAUGCCGGAAACAGAUCCCUUCAAAUCUUGCCCAGCCCCUGGACAAUGUUGACCAAACAGAUUCUAAAGCUUGGAAUUCUCGUGCUACAAGUGACCCCACCAAGCCAACCUGUGAGAUCCCUUCCUCUAAUCCUCCCCAUACCUUGAGUCGCAAGCAAUGGCGGAACCGGCAGAAGAACAAGCGUAGACAGAAGAACAAGUUUCGGCCAUCUCAGCCACCAGAGCAGGCCCCAUCCCCAGCCCCAGCCUCUGCAGAGGAGGCAGAGGUGCCUUCUGCCCCCAGUCCAGACAGCCAUGGAACCCGGGCAGAGGCUCUUCGAGCCCGCAUGGCCCAGCGUCUGGAUGGUGCCCGGUUCCGCUACCUCAAUGAACAGCUAUACUCAGGGCCCAGCAGUGCUGCGCAGCGCCUCUUCCAGGAAGACCCUGAGGCCUUUCUCCUCUACCACCGUGGCUUCCAAAACCAAGUCAAGAAGUGGCCACUGCAGCCAGUAGACCGCAUCGCCAGGGAUCUUCGCCAGCGGCCUGCAUCCCUGGUGGUGGCUGACUUUGGCUGUGGGGACUGCCGCCUGGCUUCAAGCAUCCGGAACCCUGUACACUGCUUUGACUUGGCCUCUCUGGACCCCCGGGUCACUGUGUGUGACAUGGCCCAGGUGCCUCUGGAGGAUGAAUCUGUAGAUGUGGCUGUGUUCUGCCUUUCACUGAUGGGAACCAACAUCAGAGACUUCCUGGAGGAGGCAAAUCGAGUGCUGAAGCCAGGGGGUCUCCUGAAAGUGGCUGAGGUCAGCAGCCGCUUUGAAGAUGUUCAGACUUUUCUGGGGGCUGUCACCAAGCUGGGCUUCAAGGUCAUCUCCAAGAGAUCUGUGGCAAAAUACAUCCAAGUUUCCCAAGGAAGAAACCUGAUGGUUACCCUGACUCCACCUCUUCUAGUCCCCAAAAUCAAACCCAUCUUCAAGAAAGGCCUUUCUGUUUUGUUUUGUUUUGUGUUUUUUUUUUUGUAGUUGUAUUGUUUUUAUUUUUGUAAGACAAGAGAGAACGGACGGAACAGGGCCCAACAUCAUCCCUCAGAACAGCUUCUGAGUCAUAUAUUUGCCUGGAUUCAUUUCGAAAAGGCAGUUUCAGGGUCCGUGUUUCAGGAGACCCUCCAGGCUGUCUAUCUCAGUGCAAUCAGCUGAAAAGAAAAACCUCCCAUCUGUUCACCACACAGAAUGCAAAACAAACCUGUUUGGAAAAUGCCUGCCCUUAAAACAAGAGUGAGGGCUUUAAAGAUGCAUUAAACACAGAAUCUUCCAGGAAUCCAGUUGGCUGCGGCUUCACAAAACCAGAAGCACAGAAUAACAUUUCCGCCACCGCCGCCGCCACUCACGUUCGGCCUGUUUUAUCUCCAAUAUGUCUCUCAUGUUUACUUCCAUCCCCAAAACCAUGACUCACACCCAUGCUCUCUCACUCCUGACCUUUUGCACUGGCUUCCUAAUAACUCCUACUCCCCCUCCUCUAAUCUGCUUUUCAUGCUGCAAGGCUAUUUGGUUUUCUCAAAGACAAAUAUCAUAUCAUCAUGUCUCUUAACACUUGCCACUGUUGCAUUUGGUUUACAAUACCUCCGUGACCAGGAGGCUUCUGUUCAUCUUUCCAACCUCAUUUGCUUUUCCUCUCCCAGCAGUGUGCUCUCCAGCCAUUCCUGACUUUCAGUUCCUCCAACCUGGCACACACACUCUUGCCUCUGGGCCUUUGCACCUGCUGUUACUUCAGCCUGCGACAUUCUUCCCACCCCCCCUUUCAUACCAAAUCUCACCUGACCUUCAGGUAUCAACCUUGAUGUACUUCAUUCUUGUGUUUACAUAUUUAAGGAAUGCUUUUGGUGCUUACCAAUGCCUCCGUGCUACACAGUGUGGUACUAUGCUCUCUCUAGGAAGUUUUUUUACUUCUUUUUUAUUUUUUUUUAAUUAUGAAAAGAUGAUAACACAUUUACUAGAAACUUGGAAAAUACAGAACAAUGGUACAUAUAGUUCUACUGUAUAUUUCAAUUAUUUUUCAAGUAGAUAAAUUAAGAUUUUUAGUUGGAGUUCAACAUCAAGCUCUCAAAAAUUAAUAGAAUAAAUAUACAGAGAAGUAUAAGGAUACAGUAGACCUGAAAAGCACUAUGAACCAAUUCAACAUAACACUUAUAAAAUUUUAGGAAGUCUUUCUUGAUACUUCAGAGCAUCCUGGACUUGCUCUGUCAUAAUGCAUUGUUUUGUAAUUACUUGCACGAGCCUAUAUCUUCCAGCAAACUAGGCACCAUGAAGGACAAGGAGAGUGCCUUAUCUUUAUCAGGAGGCCAUCUACUAUCAAUACAUGAUGACAUUUAUUGGGCUCUAGCUAUGUGCCAGCACUUUGAAGUACUUUACAUGUAAAGGCCUCAUUUAAUCCUCAUCCUAACCUCUCUGGAUCUGAAUUUUUUCAUCUGUAAAAUGGAAGAAAGAAGGGCCUCCUUAGAAAAGUGGAGGUGAGAAUUCUGUCUACCUAGAUGUAAGCAUAAAUGUCUCCUGCAUUGCAGGCGGAUUCUUUACCAACUGAGCCAUGAGGGAAGAAGCCAGCAUAGAUGUAGACAUGGACAAAAGUAUUAAUGAGUGCUCACACAAAAAAUAUGGAAUUCAAUUAAGCUUUGCUGAGCACAGUUAUAAAUAAAUGAACCAACUGACUAUGAAAGGGAAGAGAGAUGGAGGGGUCCAAGAUGACUCCUGGGGUUCAGCUUAAGUGACUAAGUGGAGGGUGGUGCCAUUUCCUCUGGUGGGCAACUCUGAAACAAGUACACACAGUUAUGGCUGUUAAGUGAAUGCCCCUGAGACUAUGAACAUCUCUUAUCCGGUUUUUGGGCUUCUUAUGUUCUGAUCCAGGGAUUAGAGAAUAAUAGUUCCCCUAAACCAUAUCAAAAAUCCCUGGUAUUAAUCAUUUGGGGAAAAAGCAAGACCCGAGACAGAAAACUGGAAUUUGGAAAUCAUGGGAAAGAGGACUCCUGUUCAUCAAUGAACUUAAUUUUUUGCAUCUCAACCGAGUCUUAAUUUUUAAUCUAAGCUAGUGAUCCUCCAGGGCAAAUGGUAGGAGGGCAACAGUACUAUGGUGACUCCACAGGACUCAGUGAAAACCAUGUGUGUAGAUACUGCAUAAGCCAUGCCCCUGGGGUUGUCCAGCACCAAAGGAUAACCCUGAGGACACCCAUCUGAAGAAGAGGGUUAGGCAUGGGGAGCCGGAAGACCUGAAACACUGGGAGAAAGUAAGCCAUAUUAUCUACUUGUGAACUGAUCACUAGUAACUAUCUCACUGUAGUUACUCCUGAACCUCCAUCAAAGUUUUGUGUAAGCAGGAAAGGGGAAAAAAAUGCAAUAUCAGAAUUCCUCUUAUUAAAAACGAAACAAAACCAAAAAAAAUGUCUAUUUUGGGAAAGCAUUUUUAACUGAGAGUGUUUGACUACAGAACAUGUAAUGAUGCCACUGCUACCAAUUUUAGCUAGAUAUGAGCGGUUUGUUUAUUCAAAGAAGGAAAUUGUUCUGUAUAAGAAAGCAACAAGAUUUAGAGUAAGGACUGGGAAAAAAUCUCUUGUUACAUGAGCAUUGUCUUUGGGAAGCUCUAAAGGAAAAAUAGGGUGACUGAAUAGCAUUGGGAGCAGUGCUGGGGAGAUGGGACAGGGAGAGAAAACUCUGUCACUAGGAAAUGCCCUGUAGAGGAAGGUGACGGGAAAACAGGACACUGAGAUUUAGUAAACCAUUUAAACCUAUUUAUGGUUCUGUUCUAAAAUGUAAAUUGCUCCCACUGCCAUCACCCAUCUGCAUUUCCCCACCAUACCUAACAGUGUACAUUUUUGUAUAUAGAGUAUAUAAAUUUGUAUGUUUGGUGUAUUGUGGAAGGGUACACUGCAGGAUCAAAGGGGUAUGGGAAGAGAGGACAGCUACAAGAGGUGUGCCAACCAGCAGUGAGCAAUAGAUAAUCCAGGAGAAGAGGAUUAAAGUGAGAAGGGACCAUGAGGAUGGUAAUCCUGCCCCAUCCCCAAUGGGAAUCUCUGCAGAGCUUGGGGAGCAUACUGAACUUCACACAGUCAAGGUACUAGGGACAACCAGAAGCAGACACUUGGGUUUCAUGCAUUUAGAGGAAUCAGCCUGAUCUCAGAUGUGCCACAGGGAACUUUGAGCCUGAGCUCUAGAGGAGGAGGCAGCAGGGAUUAGAGACAGACCCUGGGGGAAGUGGGGCUCUCAGGAGACCAGAACUAAGGUUCAGUCUGGUUGGUUUCUGCAAAGUCAUUGUUUGGGCUCCUGCUUUGACCUACUGUUCAUGCCUCAAACUCCUCUCCCCCUUACCUUAUGGGAGCCUUUCAGCUGCUCCUCCAAGUUGAAGACCAGGGUGGUGUGGGCACUGUGCUUCUCAAUCAGCAUCUUCAGAUUUCGCAGGGCAUUCUGUAUCCUGAAGACACCGUGUGCCAGUGAGUGGACCUGAGGGAGUGGAAGGAGAUACAGGGGAGGGGAUGGGGGUCACUCACCGCUGGGCCCUGUUCUUAAUGUGCAGGGUCAUCCACUGCUGCUGCAGUACAAAGGUGUCCAGGAAGUCCAGGAAGGUCUUGGGGGUGACGAGUGGCAAUUCAGGGCACAGGUGCCCCUGGUAGCUGGCAGCCGAAAGGUGGAUGAGAGCCAUGGCCUUGGCCACGCUGGAAACUGAGGCCUGGAUGUCUGGGAACCUCAAGGGGUCUGCAACAGGCAUGGCUUUAGCCUAGACUUGUGAGCUUGUAGGGGAAGAAAGGAAAGGGACCCUCUCUCCUCGCUCAGGAAGGAGGGCGGAAAAGGUGAAGGGAAGCUCAACCAGGUUAUAGAGAGAGACUGACCCAAGUAGCAGUCCUCUUCAGAAGCUGGUCUAGAUGGGGGGUGAGGACAGGUAAAGAGGGCUCACCGUCAUCAAGGGGUGGGCUCUGAACACCCUUCAGGUGAUGCUGGGCCACAGCGACCAGGGAGUCUUGGUCCCAGGGUUCAUAGCGGUCAGUGCUGGCGAUGGCCAGCUGAAGGAGCCUCAGGAAGAGGGUGGAGGGUAGCUGAUCGUGGGCCUGGUCAUCUCCAAUCAGGAUGAACAUGUGCAGGUGGCUGCGUACCUGGUGGCAGAACCUGUGGGGCAGGAGCUCUGACACUGUCCUCCCCUCCGUCCCUGUUUGCCCACCCAGGUCCCCACCCCAACCUGCCCCCUCAACCCUGCUCCUCUGUGCUCCCUCAGUAGCCCUUAAGUUUUGUGGGGGCCUUUGGCCUUCGGCCAGGGUGGAGCCAGAGCAGAGCGACCCCUGGCUUGGGGGUCUUGGCCUCACCUCUGCAGCAGUAUUUCCUUCUUGAUGUUCUGCUUGGCAAUAAGGCUGUCCCUGGGGAGAUGUCCUUCGAUGUUUUCCAGAUCUGCCUCUGUGUAUAGGUCAGGAAAACUGCCUGAGGUUGCCAGGGCCAGCAGGCGAUGAAGGGUAGUAUGGUCCACACCCUUGGGCACCAGCAGGGCCACCGGCUGGCCUAAUAUGCCAGCAUGCCAGCUGACCUCCCUUAGACACCCGAGAAUGGCCUCCUCUGAUCCACACGGCAGACGGAAGAGGCGGGUCUGACAGAUGCCGGCAGCCAGCGUGAUGGCAGUACAGCGCCCGGUCCCCUGAGCCCCUGCGCGCAGGAGGCCGUGCUGCCGGGGCCUGGCCAGCACCCGGACCAGGCGGGCCACGUGCUGCGCCAUCGAGUGGCACCGGGCGAGGUGGGGGCUCAGCCGCAGCUGAGCGGCUGAGGUGGCCAGCUGCUCCUCCAGGCUCACCCACUGGCGUUCCAGGUACAAGUUGGAGCUCUCAGAGUUGGACUCUAGUAUCAGUUCCUGACUGAAGACCAGGUCUGAGGGCUUCUCCUGGGGCCGGAGUAGCAGCAUUGGGAGCAACAAGGGUGAGACCAUGUCUUCUUGGGCUGCCUUCUGACACAAGUUCUUAGAUUUAUUCGGCUGGAGUUUGUAGCUGGAGAUCCUUGUGCCUUCCUCCUGGCUUAUCUUCUGACUCAUGCCUCCCAUGGUCAUCUUCCUUACUGGUGCUACGGGUGGUGCUGGAUCAUUGCACGGAGAGCCUGUGGUGACCGGAAGGUCGUACGGGGCCUCCUCCUCCUCCGUCUCACUCCCGCUGUUGCUCAGGUCCUCCCACUGAGCCAGCUCCUCUUCGGAUUCCACUUCAGGCACCUUCUCUUCCUCCUCCUCCUCCUCCUCAUAACCCUUGCCCAGGCUCUGGGGUGCCGGCCCACAGCAGAAGACAUUCUGAGCUACCUCUAGGAGUAGUCUGGCACAGAAGGAGCGUUCCUUGGGGCUGUCCAGCCGGUCACAAAACGUUCUCUGUGCCUCAUGCAACCAGAGGCGCAUGAUGUUGCGCGUGGCCAUCAUGAUCAUCAGGCGGGUGCCACGUAAGCCGGACACCCGGCGCAGGUGCUCCUGAUGGUUGAGACAGUCCACAAAACCCCGGGAGCCCAUCCUGAUGGGCAGCAGCUGCAGGCUGCCCAGAAGCUGGCUCACCGAGUGCAUGGAGAAGCGGUAGUGUGGGCGGAGGGGUGAGGGCAUAAAGCAGUUGCCCACUGCCUCCCAGGCCUCCAAUGAGGCCCGAACCAGGGCUCUUGCUAGAACACUCUCCCGCUCCACAGAGGGGAAGCGCUCGAGCCAGGCCUGCAUGCUGGGCACGUGCCUGCUCAGCAGCAUGGCCUGGGUCAUGCUGCCCAGGGCCAGCACUGUGAAGAGCCGAGAGAGGCGCGGGCACAGCGGCCGCUCGCAGAAGCCUGGCACCGUGGCAGUGGCCAGGAAGUUGACUCCAGGCUGCAGCGUCUGCAGCUCCAAGGGGCUGUGGGUAUACACCGUGCCGUCUAUGGCCUGACGCAGAGUCUCCAACAGUGGCUGACAGCUCUUCUCUGGGUCUGGGGGCCAUGAACAGAGAACACCCGCGUGAGGCCGAACGACAGUGUCACCCUGCUCCUCCUCUCCCUGCCUCUGUGGGUCUGCUCCUGGCGCACAUGGGGUUCUGGGGAAGUUUAUGCAUCUGGGGUGUUGGGACUGGGUCAGGUCUGAGGACAUUGUUCUCUCUCCCUAGAAGUGAGUGAUUUUUUUUUUUCUUCUUCCCCAAAUCUUACCUCUAAGACCAAUGACAUAUUCAUUAACUGAAGGUUAGUGAACAGAAAGGUUUGGAAACCUGAUCUGACCAUAGUAGAGGGAAAAGUGUAGUCACCACAGUCAAAGAUAAUGGAGUUAUAUCUCAUGCAGGCUUUUAUAAAGUCAACUUUAUUGAGAAAUUAUUUCUAUAAAAUAAAAUGUACACAUUGUAGAUAGUUCAGUGAGUUCUGACAAAUGUAUAUGCCCAUGGAACCACGACCCCAGUGAUAUUUAGGACACUUUCAUCACCCCAGAAAUGUUCCUUCUGCCCCGCUCCAGUCAAUCCCCUAUCACACUGUCCCAGGAAUUUCUAUCUGAUCUGAUGUCUAUCAUUAUGGAUUAGCUUUGCCUAUUCUAGAACUUCAUACAAAGGGAAUCAUACAGUAUGUGGUUUACCACGUCUGGCGUCUUUCACUCAGCAUGAUUCUGAGAUUCAUCUAUAUUUUGUGUCUAUCAGUAAUGUGUUCUGUUUCAUUGCUGAGUGAUAUUCCAUUAUGAAAAUAUCACAGUUUGUUGAUCCACUGGCAUUGAUGUACUUUUAUGUUGUUUUGAGGUUUUGACUAUUCAGAAUAAUGCUGCUAUGAACAUACAUGUGCAACUUUAUUUGAGAACAUACACGUGCUUUCAUUUCACUUCGGUAAAUACCUGUGAGCAGAACUGCUGGGUCAUAUAGUAAACAUACAUUUAAUAGGGAAGAAACUGUCACACUUUUUUUCCCCUAUAGUUGUAUCAUUUGCUCCUACCAGCAAAGUGUGAGGGUUUCAGUUGCUCCAUAUUUCACAAUUACUAUCAGUCUUUCUACUUAAACUCUUUCUAGUAGGUGUGAAGUACUGUCUCACAGGUUUUACAUUUGGAGUUCACUGAUGCAUAACUGUAUCAAACACAUUUUCAUGUGCUAUUCAUCACUCAUAUAUUUUUCUUUUGUAAAGUGUCUAUUCAAAGUUUUUUGUCCAUUUUUUAAAUGGAGUUUUUCUUACUGAGUUAUAAGAGCUUUUUUAUGUUUUCAAGGUACAGAGCUUUGUUAAAUAUAUGUAUCAUGAAUUUUUUCUAUGGAUUUUUUUUUCAUUUUCUUAAGUGUCUCUUGAAGGGCAUAGGUUUUAAAUUUUGGUGAAAUAUAGUUGUAUCCUAAGAAAUCAUUGCUUCUAGCCAACUUCACACAAUAUUUUUUUAAGAUUUAUAGUUUUAAUUUUUAUACUUGUCUAUAAUCUAUUUAUAAUUGAUUUUUGUGAAUGUUGUGAGGUAGGAUUCAAGAUUCUUUUUUUUUUUUUUUCUUCACACAUACAUACAGCUGUUUCUACCCCAAGAACUGUACUUUCCCACAGUGAAUUAUCUUGGAACACUUGUUGCAAUCUUUCAACACUUGUUGAAAACCAAAUGACCAUAAAUGACCAUAUAUCAGAUUCAUGAUUCUGUUUCAUUAGGCUGUAUCCAUGUCCUUACAUCAAUAUUGGUAUCUAUUACUCCAUUACUGUAACUGUGCACAGUAAGUCUUAAAAUCACUAGUUUAAGCCCUCCAACUUUCUCAUUUUUCAAAGUUGUUUUGGCCCUUCUAGGUCUUUCGCAUUUCCAUCUAAGUCUCAGAAAGAGUCUGUCAGUUUCAAAAAAAAAAUAAAAUAAAAUAAAAAUAUAAAACAAAAACAAACAAAAAAACCAAGACUUCCUAGUUUAGACUGGGACUGCAUUGAAUCCAUGGAUCAAUUUGGGGAGAAUAAGCACCUUAACACUGUUGAUUCAUCUGAUCUAAGAACGUGAUAUAUUUCUACAUUUACUUGAUUCUCUUUUAUCUCAGCAGUAUUUAGUAAUUUUCAGUGUGUAUCUUUCACUAAGUUUAUUCCUAAAUACUUUAAGCUUGUACAUGAUAUUUUAAAUGAUACUUAAAUUUUUUAUUUCUGAUUGUGUAUCAUUAGGAUAUAGAAAUAAUAAUGAUUUCAAUAGAUUGACUUUGUAGGCUGUGAGCCUGCUAAAUUCACUUAUUUAUUCUAAUAGUUUUGUAGUUUUGUUUUUGCUUUUGGUAGAUCCUUAGGACUCUCCAUGUAGUAAAUCAUGUAUAUGCUAGUAGAAAUAGUAUUACUUUGUCUUUUCUAAUUUUAAAGGCUUUUCCUUCUUUCUCUUAUUGUAUUGAUAGCAGUCUCUGUUCACUAUUGAAAAGAAGUAGUGAGAGCGGACACUCUUGCCUUGUGACUGACCUUAUGGAAAAAAUGUUCAAUAUUUCACAAUCAACAGCCAGGUGGAGAUCCUCCAGCAGGAAGAGGAGAAAACCUUUAGAAUCCAGGUGCCGCCCAAUCCAUGGGCUGGCUUGUGAUUGGCCCUGGACCGCCCGGCUCAGCAGGAGGCGAAGGUGGGUGGUACUGAUGGCGGGGUGAAUGGGGCUGUUUAUGUAAGGGUGCUGUGGCUCCACCAGCGCUUCCACGAAGGUUGUCUUCCCUGUUGCUGCCUCUCCAGCCAGCAGCACAGGGUGUCCCUCUGACAGAAGCAGGUCCACCACGUACAAGAGCCGCUCGGUCUGCAGGACGGGAGCAGGGCUUACUGUGGCAGCUCCUGGCUAGCACAGUAAUCUAGCCUUAGGAGGUCUUAUGGCAGGCUUAUGUCAAAGCUGUAUUUGCAGAA